AGAGUUUGAUCCUGGCUCAGAACAAACGCUGGCGGCAUGCUUAACACAUGCAAGUCGAACGAGAAAGUUUCCUUCGGGAAGCGAGUACAGUGGCGGACGGGUGAGUAACACGUAAGAACCUGCCCUUGGGACUGGGAUAACGCUGCGAAAGUGGCGCUAAUACCGGAUAACAUCCACGGAUCAAAGGGGGCUUCGGCUCCCACCUGAGGAGGGGCUUGCGUCCCAUUAGCUUGUUGGUGAGGUAACGGCUCACCAAGGCCGCGAUGGGUAGCCGGCCUGAGAGGGUGUACGGCCACACUGGAACUUAGACACGGUCCAGACUCCUACGGGAGGCAGCAGUGGGGAAUAUUGGUCAAUGGGCGAAAGCCUGAACCAGCAAUGCCGUGUGAGCGAUGAAGCUUUUAGGAGUGUAAAGCUCUUUUAUGAGGGAAGAAACGUUUAAUGCCUAAUAUGCAUUAUUCCUGACGGUACCUCAUGAAUAAGCCCCGGCUAACUCCGUGCCAGCAGCCGCGGUAAUACGGAGGGGGCAAGCGUUGUUCGGAAUCACUGGGCGUAAAGGGCGCGUAGGCGGCCUUACAGGUCAGAUGUGAAAGCCCCAGGCUCAACCUGGGAAUUGCGUUUGAAACCGUAAGGCUUGAGGCCGGGAGAGGGAAGUGGAAUUCCUGGUGUAGCGGUGAAAUGCGUAGAUAUCAGGAGGAACACCGGUGGCGAAGGCGGCUUCCUGGACCGGUUCUGACGCUGAAGCGCGAAAGCGUGGGGAGCGAACGGGAUUAGAUACCCCGGUAGUCCACGCUGUAAACGAUGAGCACUAGGUGUAGCGGGUAUCGACCCCUGCUGUGCCGCAGCAAACGCAUUAAGUGCUCCGCCUGGGGAGUACGUUCGCAAGAAUGAAACUCAAAGGAAUUGACGGGGCCCCGCACAAGCGGUGGAGUAUGUGGUUUAAUUCGAUGCAACGCGAAGAACCUUACCGGGGUUUGACAUAUAGGUGGUAGGGAUCCGAAAGGUGACCGACCCCUCGGGGAGCCUAUACAGGUGCUGCAUGGCUGUCGUCAGCUCGUGUCGUGAGAUGUUGGGUUAAGUCCCGCAACGAGCGCAACCCUUACCCUUAGUUGCCAUCAGUUCGGCUGGGAACUCUAGGGGAACUGCCGGUAAUAAGCCGGAGGAAGGUGGGGAUGACGUCAAGUCCUCAUGGCCUUUAUAUCCCGGGCUACACACGUACUACAAUGGCUGGUACAAUGGGUCGCAAUACCGCGAGGUGGAGCUAAUCUCAAAAAACCAGCCUCAAUUCGGAUUGGAGUCUGCAACUCGACUCCAUGAAGUUGGAAUCGCUAGUAAUCGCGGAUCAGCAUGCCGCGGUGAAUACGUUCCCGGGGCUUGUACACACCGCCCGUCACACCACGAAAGUUGGUUGCACUAGAAGUCACCAGGCUAACCCGCAAGGGAGGCAGGUGCCUAAGGUGUGAUUAAUGAUUGGGGUGAAGUCGUAACAAGGUA
rnacentral:rRNA from 1 species